UAUGAGUCACCUCCCAGGCCUGGAGUUGAGGAGGGAAGCGCCGCCUCUCCUUGGGCCCCUUCUCUCCCCCUUUCCCCUCCCUGCUGGUUCCUGGCAUCGCCAGAUGCUGCGCAGCAGUCUCCGAUUCCCCAUCACCAAUUCGGCUGGCGUCUCCGAGACCGCGGACUCCCGUAGGGUCCCCGUGGCCCCGAGUUGUAGUCGGGACACCCCGGCCGCGGGUGAUCGUCGGGUCUCCACGCGCCCGGGUCGCUGACGCGGAUCCGGCCUCGGCGCCUUCUCAGGGCGCCCUGCAAGGCCGCAGGCAGGAUGAACAUUCUGGCACCCGUGCGGAGGGAUCGCGUCCUGGCGGAGCUGCCCCAGUGCCUGAGGAAGGAGGCCGCUUUGCACGGGCACAAAGACUUCCACCCCCGCGUCACCUGCGCCUGCCAGGAGCACCGGACAGGCACCGUGGGCAGAUUUAAGAUCUCCAAGGUCAUUGUGGUGGGGGACCUGUCGGUGGGGAAGACUUGCCUCAUUAAUAGGUUCUG
rnacentral:lncRNA from 1 species